UACGAAGGGGGCUAGCGUUGCUCGGAAUUACUGGGCGUAAAGGGCGCGUAGGCGGAUAGUUUAGUCAGAGGUGAAAGCCCAGGGCUCAACCUUGGAACUGCCUUUGAUACUGGCUAUCUUGAGUUCGGGAGAGGUGAGUGGAAUGCCGAGUGUAGAGGUGAAAUUCGUAGAUAUUCGGCGGAAGACCAGUGGCGAAGGCGGAUCUCUGGGCCUUACCUGACGCUGAGGCGCG
rnacentral:rRNA from 1 species